rnacentral:rRNA from 1 species
ACCGCUGAACUUAAGCAUAUCAAUAAGCGGAGGAAAAGAAACUAACAAGGAUUCCCCUAGUAACUGCGAGUGAACCGGGAAGAGCUCAAAUUUUGAAUCUGGCGGUCUUUAGGCCGUCCGAGUUGUAAUCUAGAGAAGCGUCUUCCGCGCUGGACCGUGUAUAAGUUUCCUGGAAAGGAACGUCGUAGAGGGUGAAAAUCCCGUCUUUGACACGGACUCCCAGGGCUAUGUGAUGCGCUCUCGACGAGUCGAGUUGCUUGGGAAUGCAGCUCAAAAUGGGUGGUGAACUCCAUCUAAAGCUAAAUAUUGGCGAGAGACCGAUAGCGAACAAGUACCGUGAGGGAAAGAUGAAAAGCACUUUGGAAAGAGAGUGAAACAGUACGUGAAAUUGUUGAAAGGGAAACGCUUGAAGUCAGUCGCGUCGGCCGAGACUCAGCCUUGCCUCGGCUUGGUGUAUUUCUUGGCCCGACGGGUCAGCAUCAAUUUUGCCCCUUGGAUAAUGGCUAGGGAAAUGUGACACCUUUAUAGGUGUGUUAUAGUCUCUCGUCGCAUGCAAGGGUCAGGAUUGAGGAACUCAGCAUGCACCUUCGGGUGUCGGGGCUUUUGUCCACGAUACAUGCUUAGGAUGUUGGCGUAAUGGCUUUAAACGACCCGUCUUGAAACACGG